UACGGAGGGAGCUAGCGUUGUUCGGAAAUACUGGGCGUAAAGCGCACGUAGGCGGCGCAGCAAGUCAGGGGUGAAAUCCCGGGGCUCAACCCCGGAACUGCCUCUGAAACUGCAGUGCUAGAAUCUCGGAGAGGCGAGUGGAAUUCCGAGUGUAGAGGUGAAAUUCGUAGAUAUUCGGAAGAACACCAGUGGCGAAGGCGACUCGCUGGACAAGUAUUGACGCUGAGGUGCGAAAGCGUGGGGAGCAAACAGG
rnacentral:rRNA from 1 species